UUCACCCUACGGGGGGCAGCAGUGAGGAAUAUUGGUCAAUGGGAGAGAUCCUGAACCAGCCAAGCCGCGUGAGGGAAGACGGCCCUAUGGGUUGUAAACCUCUUUUGUCGGAGAACAAAACCCGGGACGUGUCCCGGACUGCGUGUAUCCGAAGAAAAAGCAUCGGCUAACUCCGUGCCAGCAGCCGCGGUAAUACGGAGGAUCCGAGCGUUAUCCGGAUUUAUUGGGUUUAAAGGGAGCGUAGGCGGAUUAUUAAGUCAGUUGUGAAAGUUUGCGGCUCAACCGUAAAAUUGCAGUUGAUACUG
rnacentral:rRNA from 1 species